CCGCUUUAGUGUUUGUUAAUCCAACUUUUUAUACUCAGCUGGUAAAUAAUUGUGUUUUUGGUUCAAGGUUUGUGGAACAUUUCUCCUAAAUGUACUGCAUCCUGAAAUUCACAUUUUUUCUUUUCUUGGACAGAGAUGAUGAUCCCAGCAGGAACUCUCAUCUGCAGCUCUUUUGCAUCUCUGACUUCAUCAUGAACACUCAUACGGUUUCGCUGCGAGGCGUCUGAAUGCACGGCGUAAACACACACUUUCAAACAUACAGCCUCCAAAGGGAGGAGCGGACAGAGGGGGAGUGUGUGGGGGAGACGCUGGUGUUUUCAUUAUUCUUUCCCCUUCAUUGGAAGCUUGCUCAUCUGGCUAAUGGGAUUGGCGGCAGUCACCACUGAGCACUGGGACCACACACACAAACGCACAGACGGAGAAUGAGACAGGAGGAAGAGAAAGGAGGACAGAGGACGAGGAGGAGGAGGAGGAGGCACCAAUGUGUGACUCGCAGUCGACUUGUAUAAUGAAAACUUCAUUACAAUGAAAAAUGAAGACGGGGACUUUGACAAAAACACCUGCAAAGGUGGACAAUUGAUUUGGUAACAUCAAUAAUCAAGAAAGAAGAUUCACUUUUCAGAAAAACCUCUUAAAGCGAAGUAAACUGAUAAAGAAAGGAAGUGAAAGAAACAAAAAGACAAUGGACUGAAGGAGUGUGAAAUUGACUGGAUGAUGAAAUAAAUCCAUCAGAAAGAAAAUGAAAUGGAAAAAGUGGGGAAUGUGGAAAAGAAUGGGUAAUUAAACCGUUUAGGAGACAAAAAGUCGAUUACAAAAAGUUUUUUGUAUUACUGAAGAAAACAGGAAAAGCUUUGUGUGGCUCAGGUGAAGUUUCAGCCGCGUGAAACUUUUCCUGCUGUGAUCCUGAAAGUGCUGUGAUGAUGUGAAGUGCUCGCAGGCAGGAGACUUUACAGGAAACGCCUUUGGCGCUUGAACAUUUCAAGUAGUUUUCAUCAAAACACUACAAUCUAAAGUCUUUCUAUAAUGUCAGUUUUUUUUUUACCUGGAACAUUGUUAGCCAAACUGACCUGUAGCUGAAUCACGUGUUCAUGAGAGUUGCUUUGGUUUCCAGGUCCUCCAGGCAAAAAAUAAGUUUGUAAUUCAUGACCUUCUUUUAUAAAACCUUUUUUCUGUUUAACAGCUAGAUUUUGGAAUACAAAAGGUGGGGUCUGUGUAGAGGAAAAAUUUUACCCCUGCCUCAUAUACAAAAAGAAAAUCAUAAAAAUUCGCAUGCACCCAUACUUGGUGUAAAUGCAGUUUGGGCACAGUAAUCCAAAAAGAAAAAAAAA